rnacentral:tRNA from 1 species
GUUUAGGUAGUUUAAAAAAAACGCUGGUCUUGUAAAUCAGUAAUGGAUUUUCCCAUAAACU